rnacentral:rRNA from 1 species
UACGUAGGGAGCAAGCGUUGUCCGGAAUCAUUGGGCGUAAAGCGCGCGUAGGCGGCCUCAUAAGUCCGUUGUGAAAGUCCAAGGCUCAACCUUGGAAUGCCGGUGGAUACUGUCGAGCUCGAGUCCGGAAGAGGCGAGUGGAAUUCCUGGUGUAGCGGUGAAAUGCGCAGAUAUCAGGAGGAACACCAAUGGCGAAGGCAGCUCGCUGGGACGGUACUGACGCUGAGACGCGAAAGCGUGGGGAGCAAACAGG